GACGAACGCUGGCGGCGUGCUUAACACAUGCAAGUCGAACGGACAGGCCAUGAUUUUGUGGGGUGCUCGAUUGGCGAACGGGUGAGUGACACGUGAGUAACCUGCCCUUGACUUUCGGGUAACAUCAGGAAACUGGGGCUAAUACAGGAUAGGAUCUCCUGCUCCGUGGUGGGCAUUGGAAAGUUCCGGCGGUUGGGGAUGGACUGGCGGCUUAUGCGCUUGUUGGUGGGGUAGUGGCUUACCAAGGCUUUGAAGGGUAGGCGGCAUGGGAGGGUGAACGGCGACAAUGGGACUGAGGGACGGAACAGACGGCGAUGUUAGGCAGUAGGGGGGAAUAUGGCACAACGGGCGGAAGCCUGAUGCAGCAACCCCGCGUGCGGGAAGACGUCUUUCUGGUGGUAAACCGCUUUCUCCUUAGACGUAGCGUGAGUGACGGUAACGGGUAAAGAAGCCCCGGCUAACUACGUG
rnacentral:rRNA from 1 species